UAGGGAAUCUUCCACAAUGGACGAAAGUCUGAUGGAGCAACGCCGCGUGAGUGAAGAGGGUUUCGGCUCGUAAAACUCUGUUGUUAAAGAAGAACAUAUCUGAGAGUAACUGUUCAGGUAUUGACGGUAUUUAACCAGAAAGCCACGGCUAACUACGUGCCAC
rnacentral:rRNA from 1 species